AGGACGAACGCUGGCGGCGCGCUUAACACAUGCAAGUCGAGCGGUAAGGCCCUUCGGGGUACACGAGCGGCGAACGGGUGAGUAACACGUGGGUAACCUGCCCCGUACUUUGGGAUAAGCCCGGGAAACUGGGUCUAAUACCGAAUAUGACUCUGGUCUGCAUGGUCCAGGGUGGAAAGUUCUGGCGGUACGGGAUGGGCCCGCGGCCUAUCAGCUUGUUGGUGGGGUGAUGGCCUACCAAGGCGACGACGGGUAG
rnacentral:rRNA from 1 species